GAUGAAGAACGUAGCGAAAUGCGAUACGUAAUUUGAAUUGCAAAUUCAGUGAAUCAUCGAGUCUUUGAACGCACAUUGCGCCCCCUGGUAUUCCGGGGGGCAUGCCUGUCCGAGCGUCAUUGCUGCCCUCAAGCACGGCUUGUGUGUUGGGCCCCGUCCUCCGAUCCCGGGGGACGGGCCCGAAAGGCAGCGGCGGCACCGCGUCCGGUCCUCGAGCGUAUGGGGCUUUGUCACCCGCUCUGUAGGCCCGGCCGGCGCUUGCCGAUCAACCCAAAUUUUUAUCCAGGUUGACCUCGGAUCAGGUAGGGAUACCCGCUGAACUUAAGCAUAUCAAUAAGCGGGGA
rnacentral:misc_RNA from 1 species